rnacentral:tRNA from 1 species
GGGGUUGUGGCUCAGUGGUAGAGCACUCGCCUAGCAUGUGUGAGGCACUGGGUUCUAUUCUCAGCACCACA